UGGGACUAAGCCAUGCGAGUCGACACAGCAAUGUGUGGCAUACGGCUCGGUAACACGUAGUCAACAUGCCCAGGGGACGUGGACAACCUCGGGAAACUGAGGAUAAACCGCGAUAGGUCACUACUUCUGGAAUGGGUAAUGACCCAAACCUAUAUGGCCCCUGGAUUGGACUGCGGCCGAUCAGGCUGUUGGUGAGGUAAUGGCCCACCAAACCUGUAACCGGUACGGGCUCUGAGAGGAGGAGCCCGGAGAUGGGCACUGAGACAAGGGCCCAGGCCCUAUGGGGCGCAGCAGGCGCGAAACCUCUGCAAUAGGCGAAAGCUUGACAGGGUUACUCUGAGUGAUUUCCGUUAAGGAGAUCUUUUGGCACCUCUAAAAAUGGUGCAGAAUAAGGGGUGGGCAAGUCUGGUGUCAGCCGCCGCGGUAAUACCAGCACCCGAGUGGU
rnacentral:rRNA from 1 species